rnacentral:rRNA from 1 species
AACCCAAAUUAAUAGACAUCCGGCGUAAAGCGUGUUUAAGAAGACAAACAAAAUAAAGAUAAAUACUAGCUAAGCCGUAAAAAGCCCCAGCUACCAUAAAAUAAACUACGAAAGUAACUUUAGAACAUCUGAAUACACGACAGCUAAGACCCAAACUGGGAUUAGAUACCCCACUAUGCUUAGCCAUAAACCUAAAUUUAUCCAACAAACAAGAUAAUUCGCCAGAGUACUACUAGCAAAAGCUUAAAACUCAAAGGACUUGGCGGUGCUUUAUAUCCAUCUAGAGGAGCCUGUUCUAUAAUCGAUAAACCCCGAUAAACCUCACCAACCCUUGCUAACU